GGGCCCGUAGCUCAGCCUGGUUAGAGCGCCGGUCUUAUAAGCCGGAUGUCGCCGGUUCAAAUCCGGUCGGGCCCA
rnacentral:tRNA from 1 species